AGUGAACGCUGGCGGUAGGCCUAACACAUGCAAGUCGAACGGCAGCACAGUAAGAGUUUGCUUUUACGGGUGGCGAGUGGCGGACGGGUGAGGAGUACAUCGGAAUCUACUUUUUCGUGGGGGAUAACGUAGGGAAACUUACGCUAAUACAGCAUACGACCUACGGGUGAGAGCAGGGGAUCUUCGGGCCUUGCGCGUUUGAAUGGGCCGAUGUCGCAUUAGCUAGUUGGCGGGGUAAAGGCCCACCAAGGCGACGAUCCGUAGCUGGUCUGAGAGGAUGAUCGGCCACACUGGAACUGAGACACGGUCCAGACUCCUACGGGAGGCAGCAGUGGGGAAUAUUGGGCAAUGGGCGCAAGCCUGAUCCAGCAAUACCGCGUGAGUGAAGAAGGCCUUCGGGUUGUAAAGCCCUUUUGUUGGGAAAGAACAGCUGCAGAUUAAUACCCCGCUGUUCUGACGGUACCCAAAGAGUAAGCACCGGCUAACUUCGUG
rnacentral:rRNA from 1 species